GGAGGAAAAGAACUAACAAGGAUUCCCCUAGUAACUGCGAGUGAAGCGGGAAAAGCUCAAAUUUAAAAUCUGGCGGUCUCUGGCCGUCCGAGUUGUAAUCUAGAGAAGCAAUGCCCGCGCUGGACCGUGUACAAGUCUCCUGGAAUGGAGCGUCAUAGAGGGUGAGAAUCCCGUCUCUGACACGGACUCCCAGGGCUUUGUGGUAUGCUCUCAAAGAGUCGAGUUGUUUGGGAAUGCAGCUCAAAAUGGGUGGUAAAUUCCAUCUAAAGCUAAAUAUUGGCGAGAGACCGAUAGCGAACAAGUACCGUGAGGGAAAGAUGAAAAGAACUUUGGAAAGAGAGUUAAACAGUACGUGAAAUUGCUGAAAGGGAAACGCUUGAAGUCAGUCGCGUUGGCCGGGGAUCAGCCUCGCUUUUGCGUGGUGUACUUUCCGGUUGACGGGUCAGCAUCAAUUUUGACCACUGGAAAAAGGCUUGGGGAAUGUGGCAGCCUCGGCUGUGUUAUAGCUUCUUGUCAUAUACAGUGGUUGGGAUUGAGGUACUCAGCACGCCGCAAGGCCGGGUUUCGACCACGUUCGUGCUUAGGAUGCUGGCAUAAUGGCUUUA
rnacentral:rRNA from 1 species